rnacentral:rRNA from 1 species
UACGAAGGGGGCUAGCGUUGCUCGGAAUCACUGGGCGUAAAGGGUGCGUAGGCGGGUCUUUAAGUCAGGGGCGAAAUCCUGGAGCUCAACUCCAGAACUGCCUUUGAUACUGUUUGGCUCGAGUACGAGAGAGGUGAGUGGAAUUCCCAGUGUAGAGGUGAAAUUCGUAGAUAUUGGGAAGAACACCGGUGGCGAAGGCGGCUCACUGGCUCGUAACUGACGCUCAUGCACGACAGCGUGGGGAUCAAACAGG